CGGAACGCUACCUUAUCCCCCAGUACUCUCUCGGUCUCUCCUCUCCUCUCCACUCACUCAACCUCUCUCGCUCCCGGUCUCCCCUCCCUCCCCCCGGCGCAUCCGCCGCGCGCGUCGUUGAGAUCCUGCCGCAACCACGCGACUCCGACCAUCGACCACCGCAUUUGUCGCAUGCAUCGGCAGUUGCCGCGCGAUGAAGAUCGCCGCUGGUCCCGCAGCAGCCUCGGCUGGAGGAGGACGAUAGGUCCAUGGCGACGGACGCUCAAGUAAGAGGAGCGGCCCCAAUGGUGGAGGCCUCGAGCACCGGGAUAAGUGCAGGCUGGGGAUGCAGGAGAGGUGCAGCGCGGGGCUCGGGGCUCCGACGAGCUGGGUGCGGCGUGACGGACGACGACGGACGCAGGGACGCGUUGAUCCGGGCGCUGGUGCUCAAUCCGGUCCCGUUCCGGCCGGAUCCACGGCGGUGCUCAUCUCCGGCGAGGUGGCCGGUGACUCGCGGGCCGACGACGACGCAAGACCACGGGAGGAGCUCAUCUCAUGGGGCUGGGGCGCGAGGUCCUGUUGGCUUCGGUUGCCGGUGGCUUACGCAGGGGUGGCGGGGGUCCAGCAUCAUGGAGGCUCUUCGAGGGCGAGGAAGCAUACGGCGACGACAACUUUGAGGCCGGCGGGGGCACCGUCUUCGCGUUCGAUGGUCGUAGUGAACGUCGUGGGCUCCAACGCGGCCGCCGUUGGCUCUAUCCCCUACAGGUAAUCCCCCCUUAAUUUUACCCCUUGAAAUUGCCAUGAUUAUCCCAGGGAGAGGCACAACCUUUUUCUUUUUGAGAUUCAGAGUAGUAAAGCUACUCUGCUGAAACCACAAAUAAAGAGAUCAUAAGCGGGCGGAGGCAGUCCGGUACGUCCGCAAUCCUCUCCUGGUCUUCCGAAUUCCUAGCCAACGCUGCAAGCCCAUCAGCAAGGGCAUUGCACAAUCUCCCCACGCUACUGAUACUAUGAUCCGAGAAGUUUGUUAGUGCUUGCUUGAUGUCUC
rnacentral:rRNA from 1 species